UUACGGUCACAUCGCAUCGAAAUACCGGUUCCCAGACGAUCACCGAAGUUAAGCAACGUUGAAAUUGGCCAAUACCUAGAUGGGUGACCGCUUGGGAAUACCAGGUGAUGUAAG